UACGUAGGGUGCAAGCGUUAAUCGGAAUUACUGGGCGUAAAGCGUGCGCAGGCGGUUCGCUAAGACAGAUGUGAAAUCCCCGGGCUUAACCUGGGAACUGCAUUUGUGACUGGCGGGCUAGAGUAUGGCAGAGGGGGGUAGGAAUUCCACGUGUAGCAGUGAAAUGCGUAGAGAUGUGGAGGAAUACCGAUGGCGAAGGCAGCCCCCCUGGGCCAAUACUGACGCUCAUGCACGAAAGCGUGGGGAGCGAACAGG
rnacentral:rRNA from 1 species